ACUGAGUUAUCCAGACUGGACUUGAACUUGCAGCCUUCUUGCCUCAGCCUCCCAGACUGCCGGAAUUACGAGCAUAUGCCACCACUCCUAGCUAAAAGCUUCAUAUUCUUCUUUUGGCACUGGAUGUCCCUGCUGCUCGGCUACAGGUGUGGAAACUGAGGAAGUAAGGAGAAGUAAUUUUCUAGAAGCCACAGUGCCAUGAAGUCUGCAAAGCUGGGACUCACACCCAUCUAGUACUUACAUGGUUGGUCAGACUGUGCCAGUCACUCCAUCAUCUGCCACUCAGACCAAAGCAAAGUCUCCGCCAUGGAAAGAGUGCUUGUUUUCUCUCCUGUCUCAUUCCCAACUGGAUCUGAAGCAGCCAAACAAGAGCUGAGCUGUGCUUCAGGAGAUGGCCCAGGUUUGAGGGUGAGGCUGGUAUUCCAAAGGCAGCUGUUGUGGGCUCCAAGGCAGACCUGUUCCUGGAUAAAAGCAGCAUGAUCUGAGCUAGAUGGAGCUUGUAUGUCAAGGACUAGUUGGCUGGGGUCUCACUAAGGUGCUAGGGCUGCCCAGGUGAGAUGCAAGUGUGUGAACCUCCUGUCUUGGCCUCCCAGACUGCUAGAAUUAGAGGCAUGGGGCACCACACUGGCUCACACCUUCUCUUCAAGGGGAAAGAUGGAGGCACUGAAAAGCGGAUUGCUCAGGUGUGCAGAAAACAAUGUAACACCGUAGCCAAAAAGAACAAGACCAGCAGAAGGUGAAUGAUGCUGCGGCUUGUGUGCAGAUCACAACCUCUCAGCCAGCUGCUUGUAAUCCUGAGCUUCUGUCCCCCAGGGCAAAUGUUGUCACUUUUGAUUCAUUUGCCCCACUGUCUUCUUAGCCUACUAUUCAUAGACCAGCGGUGGGAGGAGCGGCAGCGGGGACAGUGUGAGGCUAAUUUAAUGUCAAGGUUCCACAGCCCAUACAUUUCAUAGACUCUACUUAGUCAUAAUUUUUAAAAAUAAAUG